UGGGGAAUAUUGCACAAUGGGCGCAAGCCUGAUGCAGCCAUGCCGCGUGUGUGAAGAAGGCCUUCGGGUUGUAAAGCACUUUCAGCGAGGAGGAAGGUGGUGAACUUAAUACGUUCAUCAAUUGACGUUACUCGCAGAAGAAGCACCGGCUAAGCUCCGUGCCAGCAGCCGCGGUAAUACGGAGGGUGCAAGCGUUAAUCGGAAUUACUGGGCGUAAAGCGCACGCAGGCGGUUUGUUAAGUCAGAUGUGAAAUCCCCGGGCUCAACCUGGGAACUGCAUUUGAAACUGGCAAGCUAGAGUCUCGUAGAGGGGGGUAGAAUUCCAGGUGUAGCGGUGAAAUGCGUAGAGAUCUGGAGGAAUACCGGUGGCGAAGGCGGCCCCCUGGACGAAGACUGACGCUCAGGCUGCGAAAAGCGUGGGGAGCAAACAGGAUUAGAUAACCCUGGUAGUCCACGCUGUAAACGAUGUCGAUUUUGGAGGUUGUGCCCUUGAGGCGUGGCUUCCGGAGCUAACGCGUUAAAUCGACCGCCUGGGGAGUACGGCCGCAAGGUUAAAACUUAAAUGAAUUGACGGGGUCAUAGCUGUUUCCU
rnacentral:rRNA from 1 species